GCCGUCAUCUCCGCGCAGCUCGGCCCGGGAGGGACUCGAAAGGUGCGGUCCUUCUAGCUCUGGGGCUGCCAUCCGGGAGCGUGUUCUCCUUCCAACCAAUUGAACGCUGACUUGGCCUUUGUCACCUUUUCUUCACCAAACUCCACAACUGAUGCUGAACUCUGGCUGUGGCCCCCAAGGGGCCGAUGAGGGCAGAGGCUUCUAGCAGCCACAGUGUCCCCACCCCCCAAGGAACGGCUGAUGCUGUGUCAUCCACUUCGCCCUCCGAGGCAUCAGGGAAGCCACAUGCAAUAUCUCUUUCUCUCAGAGGGCUCCUGUUUCAACUCUGAAAAGCAGGGGCCUCCUCUGAGCCGCUCUCCAUCUCUACAGUUCCCACCACCGAGCUUCGCCCCGGCUGCUGCAGCCCAAGUUAUCACAGAGCCUAGAGAAACCAGGCCUGGGCUGUGCUUCCUCCAUAAAGCAGCUGACAUGUUUCCAACUGUUAAUACUUUUCCUACCGAGGUUCUGAAAGGGCCUGUUCUCAGCCUUUGGAAACAACUUCAGACAGAUAACCGGGUAACUGGUUGUGGAAAAUAUAUGCCUCUUAACUAGUUGCAGACAAUACUACUGUAGAAUUACUUGAGACUAGUUAGGCGAGAUGGUGUUAUACAUACAGAAAGCUUGCUACUUUACUUACUACUGACUCCACCACAGCAGCUCCUCUGAGGACACCUGCACACCAUACAAAGUUUUAAGCCCAAUCAUGCACCUUUCAUUUGCAGCCUUAAGUGGAACUCUAGUUUUCAGGGCUACAGGCAGAAGUGUCUGUCUAGGCCUGGACUAAAUAGAUGGGUUUUGGCCAAGAUAGAACUCUCUAGAACCAAGCAAAAGUAGUUGGACCAUUACCUCUGACUUGAGAUAAGAAGGCUAAGCCACUGCCCGAGAGGGAACUGAUUCAGCUGGCUGUUUCUCUAACGUCCAGAUUCAUCAAAAUUAAGUUUUCAGAACCUGUUAUGUUUCCCAUGGUCUACUGUUUACUGAGGAAAACUCUACCCAAAGAAGUUUUAGCACUUGCAUUUUUCUUACGUCUCUCCCUACCCCCAGCCCAUGUACCCAAGUGUACUAUCAAAUGCUUUUUUGAAGACAGGCCAGCCUAGGAGGAGGCAAGUCUUUAAACAAGAGUAAUAGUUCACACAGUCACCACAGAAUUGGUGUCUGGAGCUUCCAAGUUGUAACGUGUUCCAAAGAGAAGGCAAAGGAAAGGCCAUGUGGGAAAUGCUAUUUUAUUCAUUUGCCCUGUCUUGGAUUCAGGAAUUAGCCUUUCCUAGUUUCCCCAUUCAUUGGUGGUGUUUGAGUAGGGACAACAUCAAAAGUUGGAAUUCUAGUUGGAAUUUAGCUUAUUCUGUAAAAUACAUUCAAACCUACAAAGCUACAUGAAUUUUCAUAACAAAUCGCCACCUUUAUAAUGUCACAUAGAUAACACUAGCAACUAAAAAAAGAGAAAACAAUAUUAAAAAAACUUACAAAUUGAAUUAUAAUCAUUCUGGACCCUGUGCUAAUCUUUUCUAGCUAGUUAAUAAACUUGCAAGUCAAAUGA